GGGCUUCUGGCGCAAUGGCAACGCGUUUGACUUCGACUUCUAUAUGAAAAUUAUAGCUGAUAACGACAUCAAAAGAUUACAGGUUCGAGUCCUGUGGGGCUCA
rnacentral:tRNA from 1 species